rnacentral:ncRNA from 1 species
GAAAAUCUCAGUAAGAGUAUAUGGUGAAUGCCUUGACAUAAGAAGACGAUGAAGGACGUAGCAGCCUGCGAUAAGCCGCGGUGAGGUGGCAAGCAACCUUUGACCCGCGGAUCUCCGAAUGGGGAAACCCCUUCCGUUGAAGACGGAGGACGCCCAAUCUUUAAGAUAGGGCGGGAAGACCCGGUGAACUGAAACAUCUUAUUAGCCGGAGGAAAAGAAAAUAAUAAUUAUUCCCCAAGUAGUGGCGAGCGAAAGGGGAGAAGUCUAAACCCAAAUAACUGAGAAAUUAGUCCGGUUCGCCGGAUUUAUUUCAGAAGGUUCUGGAACCACAUGUUUUUUCGGUGUUGCAAGACCUAAGACCUGUUGCCAGAUCAACAGGACGAAGUAAAAAAAGAUUACUCUUAGCAGAACGAGUUGGAAAGCUCGGCCAGAGACGGUGAUAGCCCGGUACGCGAAAAGAGAAGUCACUUCGUUUUAGUGUUCUUAAGUAGGGCGGGACUCGUGAAAUCCCGUUUGAAGCCAGGCCGACUAUGGCCUAAGACUAAAUACUUCUUAUGAUCGAUAGUGAACUAGUACCAUGAGGGAAAGGUGAAAAGCAUCCCGAUGAGGGAGGUGAAAUAGUACCUGAAACCAUAUACUUACAAAGAGUCGGAGCCCCGCAAGGGGUGACGGCGUGCCUAUUGAAGAAUGAGCCAACGAGUUUGUUCUACGUGGCUAACAUAAUCUCCUUUGGAGAGCAUGUAUAGUGAAAGCGAGGGUUAAUAGCCCGUUUGUGUAUCGCUUUCGUGAGCACUAAUUUAUUAGUGCCCCGGGAGUGAUACAUUCGUCGCGUGGACAAGACCCGAAGCCGGGUGAUCUAACCAUGAGCAGGCUGAACUCCAUCGAAAGAUGGAAGGAGGGCCGAACCCAUUAGCCGUGCAACACUAUGGGAUGACUUGUGGUUAGCGCAGAAAUUGUAAUCGAACUCGGCAAUAGCUGGUUCUCCUCGAAAUAGCUUUU